rnacentral:rRNA from 1 species
AUUAAACGCUGGCGGCAUGCCUUACACAUGCAAGUCGAACGGUAGCGCGGGGCAACCUGGCGACGAGUGGCGAACGGGUGAGUAAAGCAUCGGAACGUGCCCUGGAAUGGGGGAUAACGUAGCGAAAGUUACGCUAAUACCGCAUAUUCUGUGAGCAGGAAAGCAGGGGAUCGCAAGACCUUGCGUUCUGGGAGCGGCCGAUGUCGGAUUAGCUAGUUGGUGGGGUAAAAGCCUACCAAGGCGACGAUCUGUAGCUGGUCUGAGAGGACGACCAGCCACACUGGGACUGAGACACGGCCCAGACUCCUACGGGAGGCAGCAGUGGGGAAUUUUGGACAAUGGGCGCAAGCUUGAUCCAGCCAUGCCGCGUGCGGGAAGAAAGGCCUUCGGUGUAACGAC